AUAUCUUUCUAGAUCAAUCCCUUUGCCCCUCAUUCUUCGAGAAUCAGAGUCUUUUUGGGUUUGAAUUUGUUCAUAUGGAAUCUGGGUGGUUCUUUCUUUCUUCUUUUUGAUUUAUUUUCUUUUAUUCUUUCUUUCUAUUUUCUUUUGCUCUCUUUUCUUUUUACUUUUUGUUCCCUUCCAUCAUUCCUUAAGUCCCAUAGGUUUGAUCUGAUCCUGUAGAAUUUAUGUCUACUCCCCAACAUUUCACAUAUUACUUUUAAUC